CGCCGAAACCCCUUCGGGGGUCCGCCGGCCUGGCAUGCCGGCGCUGAUGAGGCUGCCACUU
rnacentral:hammerhead_ribozyme from 1 species